rnacentral:rRNA from 1 species
UACGAAGGGGGCUAGCGUUGCUCGGAAUCACUGGGCGUAAAGGGCGCGUAGGCGGAUCUUUAAGUCGGGGGUGAAAGCCCAGGGCUCAACCCUGGAAUUGCCUUCGAUACUGAAGAUCUCGAGACCGGAAGAGGUAAGUGGAACUGCGAGUGUAGAGGUGAAAUUCGUAGAUAUUCGGAGGAACACCAGUGGCGAAGGCGGCUCACUGGGCCAGUACUGACGCUGAGGUGCGAAAGCGUGGGGAGCAAACAGG